rnacentral:rRNA from 1 species
UGAGGAAUUUUGCGCAAUGGGGGAAACCCUGACGCAGCAACGCCGCGUGAGUGAUGAAGGCUUUCGGGUCGUAAAGCUCUGUCGAGUGGGAAGAAACUGGUGACAGUCAACAGCUGUUGUCAUUGACGGUACCACCAAAGGAAGCACCGGCUAACUCCGUGCCAGCAGCCGCGGUAAUACGGAGGGUGCAAGCGUUAUUCGGAUUUACUGGGCGUAAAGGGCGCGCAGGCGGCUUGUCAAGUCAGUUGUGAAAGCCCGGGGCUUAACCCCGGAAGUGCGACUGAAACUGUCAGGCUUGAGUAUGGUAGAGGGAAGUGGAAUUCCUGGUGUAGCGGUGAAAUGCGUAGAUAUCAGGAGGAACACCGGUGGCGAAGGCGGCUUCCUGGACCAAUACUGACGCUGAGGCGCGAAGGUGUGGGGAGCAAACA